rnacentral:rRNA from 1 species
GACGAACGCUGGCGGCGUGCCUAAUACAUGCAAGUCGAACGAACCGCGACUAAGUGCUUACCCUAAGUCAAGGUGAGUGGCGAACGGGUGAGUAACACGUGGGUAACCUACCUCAUAGUGGGGGAUAACAGUCGGAAACGACUGCUAAUACCGCAUAGGACAUAGGAUCACAUGAUCCAGUGAGGAAAGGUGGCGCAAGCUAUCGCUAAGAGAUGGACCCGCGGUGCAUUAGCUAGUUGGUAGGGUAAAGGCCUACCAAGGCGAUGAUGCAUAGCCGACCUGAGAGGGUGAUCGGCCACAUUGGGACUGAGACACGGCCCAAACUCCUACGGGAGGCAGCAGUAGGGAAUCUUCCGCAAUGGACGCAAGUCUGACGGAGCAACGCCGCGUGAGUGAAGAAGGUCUUCGGAUCGUAAAGCUCUGUUGUUAGAGAAGAACAGCGCAUAGAGUAACUGCUAUGCGUGUGACGGUAUCUAACCAGAAAGCCACGGCUAACUACGUG